rnacentral:misc_RNA from 1 species
UACAGAGGCCACAAGCGUUAGUCGGAAUCACUGGGCUUAAAGGGUGCGUAGGCGGGAGUGAAAGUGUUUUGUGAAAUCCCACGGCUCAACCGUGGAACAGCAGGGCAAACUACACUCCUUGAGGCAUGUAGGGGCGGGCAGAACAGUAGGUGGAGCGGUGAAAUGCGUAGAUAUCUACUGGAAUGCCGAUGGUGAAGACGGCCCGCUGGGCAUGUCCUGACGCUGAGGCACGAAAGCGUGGGGAGCAAACAGG